rnacentral:rRNA from 1 species
CGGACACGUCCAAUUGUUGGGGGAAACUUGCCGAAGGUAAGCUAAUACCGCAUACGUCCUACGGGAGAAAGGAGUCGGACUCUUCGGAGCCUUUCGCUAUUAGAUGAGCCUAGGUCGGAUUAGUUAGUUGGUGAGGUAAUGGCUCACCAAGACCGCGAUCCGUAACUGGUCUGAGAGGAUGAUCAGUCACACUGGAACUGAGACACGGUCCAGACUCCUACGGGAGGCAGCAGUGGGGAAUAUUGGACAAUGGGGGAAACCCUGAUCCAGCCAUGCCGCGUGUGUGAAGAAGGUCUUAGGAUUGUAAAGCACUUUAAGUUGGGAGGAAGGGCAGUUAACUAAUAUUUGACUGUUUUGACGUUACCGACAGAAUAAGCACCGGCUAACUUCGUGCCAGCAGCCGCGGUAAUACGAAGGGUGCAAGCGUUAAUCGGAAUUACUGGGCGUAAAGCGCGCGUAGGUGGUUCGUUAAGUUAGGAGUGAAAGCCCCGGGCUCAACCUGGGAAUUGCUUCUAAAACUGGCGAGCUAGAGUAUGGUAGAGGGUGGUGGAAUUUCCUUGUGUAGCGGUGAAAUGCGUAGAUAUAGGAAGGAACAUCAGUGGCGAAGGCGACCACCUGGACUUAAUACUGACACUGAGGUGCGAAAAGCGUGGGAGAGCAAACAGGAUUAGAUACCCCUGGUAGUCCCACGCCGUUAAACGAUGUCAACUAGUUUGUUGGGGUUCCUUGAGGACUUAAUAACCGCAGCUAAACGCAUUUAAGUUUGACCCGCCUGGGGAAGUACCGGCCGCAAGUGUUAAAACUCAAAUGAUUUGAACGGGGUGGCCCGCACCAGCGGUUGGAA